rnacentral:rRNA from 1 species
AUUGAACGCUGGCGGCAGGCCUAACACAUGCAAGUCGAGCGCGCGGCGGAGGGGUGUGAAAUGUAUGUGGACUGCCCGAGAGAGGGGGAGAAAUACUGGAAACGGUGGCUAAUACCCCAUACUCUCGCAUAACCCAUAUGGGGUUAGCUAGUGGGUGGGGGAAUGGCUCACCUAGGCGACGAGCCCUAGCUGGUCUGAGAGGAUGAGCAGCCACACUGGGACUGAGACACGGCCCAGACUCCUACGGAGGCAGCAGUGGGGAAUAUUGCACAAUGGGCGCAAGCCUGAUGCAGCCAUGCCGCGUGUAUGAAGAAGGCCUUAGGGUUGUAAAGUACUUUCAGUGGGGAGGCGUUACCGACAGAAGAAGCACCGGCUAACUCCGUGCCAGCAGCCGCGGUAAUAC